CCGCCCUCCUCGCGAGCACAGGGCUCCACGUCCAUCCCAACCGAGCAGAGCCCAAGCCCUGCUCCCUCCCCAAGCAACUGCCAUGCUGUCUUCACGCCUCAACCUGCGUGUAAGCGGCGGGGCCGACACGUUUCCAUCUUUAUUUCCUGGUUCUCCUAACAUAUGAGGCUUCUGCGUGUGUUUUGAAAAUCCUAACUCAUGAGGAUUAUCCAAGCAAUACAGCAACCAUCGUUUCUCCCUGUAUAGCAGAAUUAUGUAUUUUUUAUAUUAUAUUUAAGGUGUUUGGAGAAGGCAGAAGGUCAGGUACAGCUUGCCAGCUGACAACCGUCCUUGCUUCACAUCUCUGGUGUGCUUUUAGCUGAUAUAUACCCGAGAGAAAGGCAGCCAGCAGGACGGUGUUACCAUCGUUGGGAAAAGCGACACCGACAUGGGGCUCUGGAGAAAAACGUCCCAAAAAAGUGUCGCCAUCCCCGACUGACGCCGAGCCACCACUCGGAUCCUCUCCGCUCUCCCGGCCCUGAACCGCCGCGAUCAGACCCACAGGCGCCAGCCGGUAACACCGCAAAGCGGCUCCACUCACGAGGGGAACCGGGAACUGCCGGCUCUGACUGUGCUGGUGAAGUGUAGGUGUAUGCGGUGCACCAGAACUGAUGGAGAAGAGUCACCAGCGAGUCCUCUGCACUUCUGUGAGCAGAAGAGCUGGGAGGGCAGAAGCCCAUUCCUACACCUACCAGUACCUUCGAUGGGAGCAGCACCAAAU